AUAAUAUAACAAAGAAUUGUUUGUUAUAAUAAAUGAGCUCACAAAAGAAUAUGCUAUUGACGAAAGAAGAAGUAAUGCAGCUGGUACAAUUGGUGGAGGCAAAUCCAUUGAUGUUCAGCAAAGUCACAAAUGCCAGCAAUAACCAGCUCAAGGAUGCGACUUGGAGGAUUAGGAAAACAGAAAAGACGAGCUGAUGCAGAUGAUAUGAGUCAAUAACAGAUCGAAAAGAAAUACAUGCAUUAAA